rnacentral:misc_RNA from 1 species
UCCCGGUUGGCCCGGGCAGUCUGGCAUGAAAAAUCCAACAUACCAUAAGGGUUGCGCUCGUUGCGGGACUUAACCCAACAUCUCACGACACGAGCUGACGACGGCCAUGCAGCAUCUGUCACCAGGUUCCCGAAGGCACUCUCGGCUUUCACCAAGAUUCCUGGGAUGUCAAACCUCGGUAAGGUUCUACGCGUAGCGUCAUAUUAAACCACAUCAUCCUCUGCUUGUGCGGGUCCCCGUCAAUUCCUUUGAGUUUUAAGCUUGCGCUCGUACUCCCCAGGCGGUGUGCUUAACGCGUUAGCUGUUCAGCCCAAGGGGUCGAUACCUCGAACUAAUAGCACACAUCGUUUACGGCGUGGACUAC